rfam:Asian citrus Psyllid, Diaphorina citri - Florida Strain, whole genome shotgun sequence.
ACCAGCGCGAUAGCACGUUGAAUUCACCAGUUCCCUAGGGAUCACUGAAGUCAAGCAACGUUGCGCGUAGUUAGUACCUGAUUGGGUGACCAUCUGAGGAAUCGCGUGCUGCUGGGU